rnacentral:lncRNA from 1 species
GAGAAAAUGGUUCAGGCAAUGUACUCUGGCCAUGGGCUUUAUUUCAUGCAACACUAUUUGAAUCGGGUAUGUAUAUUUUACUUAUUUCUAUGGAAGACUGCUUUUUUCUAUCCUUGUUGCUGACAGUGUCAUUAUAGCUAACCUGCUUAAGGGUUACUGUCUGAAUGUUCAUGGAAUGUGCAGUCAAUAUAAUCAUUUAUCCUCCAGUAUCCAGGGUUUCUUAUAACCCUAAUUCAAAUACUCUUUUUAACUGGUAAAAUUAUUUGACAUAUCUUCUCUUCAGAUUUCAUAGCCUUUCUGUUUUUUUUUUUUAAUGCAACUUUAAAAAUAAAUUAUUGCAAGCUGUAAAAACGUACUGUUUGAAGAGAAAAUGUCCCCUUCUAUAUUAAAAACCUUCAGUUUUUGAAUUAUCAUUGUCUUAAAGCCUAUCUUCUCAGAGAAAUGUGGUAUUAAAAAUACAUUCAUUUCAUGAGGUGAGAUUAUUAUAGAAAAUAUGACAAAAACUUCUUUCAACUCUGAGACCCAGAGUGAAGUUUCAGACAAACUAAGGUUGAUUUUCAGAGCCCCUCAAUACUUCAGUGUGUGCUUAUGAGGCUGGACUCUCCAGCUGCAUAUCUAUCAGGAGUGGCUGGGGAGGCAUCAGCUUCUAUGUGCUUGCUACAUACUUCCUUGCUGCAAUUGAAUCUAAGUUUUUGAGAGCUAUACCUUAUGAAAUAGAGUUAAUUCCUCAAGAGGAAUACAGAUCUAAGUUCUGUUACUCAGUUGCGGAAUGUCGGGCAUCCUAUCCACGAGCUAUGGAUAGAGGCAAUGAUUUUUUCAAGUAUUUGCUGUCCAGAGUGGUGGUUUCCUCUGUUGGAGGUAUUCCUAAGUACAACGUAGAUGAGGACACAGUGAUUCGUUAUAUGUGGGACGUCCAUCAAGCAGCCGUUGAUGUUGGAAAAUCACAGCUCAGUGAUGUAUCAUUCUAUUCUUCUGAAACUGAACGAGACUUCUUCAUGGACUUUCUACUUGCAGUAGAAUUUUCUGCGGCAACAUUAUAUCGCCCCUACAUUAACAGUACGGCAGAAUUCCUAGUGGGUUUCCCACAUAGGCCACUCACAGACCAGGAUCGUAAUGUUCUUGCAAGUGACGUCACCGUACGGGAAAAAGCAUUUAUGAGUUCAGUGAAAUUCUUUUCGAGAACAAAUGAAGCUACAGGAGGGUUAUUUUUAACAGUUUGGAAGAUAGCCAUGACUUCAGAAGCUGGACGGGCUGCAGGACAAUUCCUCAUUAAAAGGCUUCUCUUAAUACCAAGUCUUUAAUGGCCUUUUUUUAAUGCCACUAUAUAUAAUCAACUUGAUUCCAUGAUUAAACGCAAUUAAACGCACAGUUGACUCAGUUCUUGGCCUAAGUAGAUAUUUUGUAAGUAUGUUCCAAAUGAUUGAGGCUACUCUGAACAAUACUAAAAAGCAUAAAAUGUCCUGUGACUUUGCUGUUAUAGCAAGAAUUCCGGCCAAAAUUCUGAAAUAAACACGAAUGGG